rnacentral:rRNA from 1 species
UACGUAGGGUGCGAGCGUUGUCCGGAAUUAUUGGGCGUAAAGAGCUUGUAGGCGGUUUGUCGCGUCUGCCGUGAAAACCCGCGGCUCAACCGCGGGCCUGCAGCCGAUACGGGCAGGCUAGAGUUCGGUAGGGGAGACUGGAAUUCCUGGUGUAGCGGUGAAAUGCGCAGAUAUCAGGAGGAACACCGAUGGCGAAGGCAGGUCUCUGGGCCGAUACUGACGCUGAGGAGCGAAAGCGUGGGGAGCGAACAGG